GCCUUGCAAGGGCCAGACAUGGGUUGAGCAGAGGCAGAGGCAGGCAGAGCUGACAUAGCCCAUGCCUGUUUCAGAGAUGGUGAAAGCAGAACUAUUCUGCUGAGCCUCUCUUUCUCUUCUUGGGGCUGUCUGUAAGCAGCUGGCUGACUCUAAUAUCCAGGCUUGUGAGAAUCAGCUCUGUUCCUCUCUCUGUCGUGUGUGGGCCAGCUGCAUCCCCACUGGUCCUCAUUUCCCCUGCACUGAGCUCAUUCACUCCCUGGGGAUUAAUUUGACUGUGAAUACUGUGGACUCUGAAGUGUGGGAAAACUGGAGACACAAACAACAGAAGCCUUAAUGCUACAGGGGCAGAGAGUAGCAUCUUUUCCUUGGUUAGCAUCACAUGAGACCUGGCAGGCCGUUUUGUUGCUGGUGACAUUCCGUAAUCAAAGACACUUCUACCCAGUGACUCAGGGAGGCAGCCUGCUGCUGAGCAAAGAGGAGGCAGGUCUGCAAGCUGGAGUUCAGAGAAACUUAGGAUCGUAUGAGGAUGAUCAGUCCAGAGCUCUCAGAAUCAAAGAGAUGUGAUGGCAGAGUGGGGCUGCCAUCUUGGGCCAUGAAGCAACAAGCAUGAAGACAUACAAAGGAUGGUUGAGUGGAAAGAACAAAAAAAGGAUUGAACAGUGAAAGAUCAAGAGGGAAUGAUUCCUUGGGAGCGGCAGUUGACAAAGCAAAUUACAGAAUAUACUCAGUGAGAAUCAGAUGAAACACGGGAGAUAAAAGGCUCCGGACCAAGAGGUCCCAGCGAAGCAUUCAGAGGAGAAAGGCUGCAACCAGGAAGUCCACACACUCACAGCUGCUUCCAGGCCCCGGUGCUCACCCAGUAACAAAGCCACUUCUGUCUGGGAAAACCACAGCAAGGCGAGGCAGGGAGCAGAAAGCCUUUAAUUGGGGUGGCGAACGAGCGGCCCUGUGAACUCCAAAUGCCUCCAGCAGGCUGGGGCACGCUUUUUCUUUCCCUUCCUCUUUGCCCACCCGUUGAUGGCCUCGCUCUCCAGGGCUUCUCAACAGGCAUUGUUGGUCUUUUGGCUUCUCCCCUGCUUCAGGUCCGGAGCCAUCUUUCCGCCUUUUUGCUAUUCCGCCCUGAGCAUGCUACGGGCCAGUGUCCUGGGUUCUCAGUUUACCCUCUCUCCAUCAAGAUGUUCCUAUCCGGGUUCCACCUCCUCAGACCUUGCCAGGUGACUGGGCAUCUAAUCUAAUAAUCCAGUAACAAAAUCAGUGGUAACUAAAGGCUGAUAGCCAAAUAUGUUAAUGCUUUCUAUUAACAUUUCCAGAUUAAUAGUGACUUUUGGAGCUUCAACUCAGAGGAAUUACUUAUCUGGGAAAGUUGGGCAGUCGGUGUCCAGAGAUUAGGGACUUUUGGGUUGGACAAUCCCUGGUUCCCCUGAAAUUGCUCCAUGAAAGAACCUUCUGAGCAUAAUUGAGCCAGCCUCAGUGUCCCCAGUUUUUUGGUAUUGAUCCAACCCCACGGUGAUCUCAUCUCCCUCCACAUUGAAAGAAUCCAAUCUAUUCUGCACUAUUUUGUGCUUGUUUGUUGAAAAUGAGUCUGAAUGAAUUUUAGAUUUAAAAUGAAGGCACGCUACUAAUGGAGAAUCAAAUGGAGAUAUAGAAGUAGUACAACAGUGAAGAAAACAAGAGACUGGAAGAAGGGAAUCUGUUUGUGAGAUGCCCAGAGUUCAAGUUCAAUCUGGCCAUGUAACUGAAUUCCCUGAAAACAGGCUGUCUGUGGAAGAAUGUAAUCAGUGAUCUUAGACUAGUUAUCAUUUAUUUCAAUCAACUUAGGAAAACUCUAACUGAUGGAGAACCAGAAAUCAAAUCUUAGAAGAUUAUAUUAGUCACUAUUGAUAUGGUCACCUGUGCCUGAAAACAAAUUGAUUCAUGGUGCCAAGCAAGGCCUUUACAAGAUAAGACAAGAGCUGGAUUCACUGUCUCAGUUCCUGAAAGAGAACAGAGACCAACUAGGAUCAAUACAUUCCUGAGCCUGGAAAAAGAGAGAUUGUCACAUGCUAUAAUUCAGGGGAAAAAUUAAUCUGGACGUUUCUAUCUCCCUUAGCUACCUUUUCUGUACUCUUGUUUUGUCUGGAUUCGUGCCAGAUUCAGGACAUUUGUGUCAGUGAUGUCUUGUGGUUUAAAAAAAGCAAUUAUUGGAUCAAGUCAGAAGAUCUGGAUGAGAGGUCUUGGUUAAUUACACAGUCUCUCUCAGUUUUCUGGUCUGGAUUGGAUCAGCUGAUCUAUAAGAAACCUGCUAGAGCCAUGGUUUUGUGUUUCUAAGUUGUUCUGAGACACAAAUCCCAAACUAUGUAAAACUCGCUUAAAAUCUGAACUACAUUCCAAGAACAAGAUUUGAAAUGCUAUCAUUUUCUUUCUUCUUCAUCAAAUAAAGAAGAAUGUGGAACAAUA